rnacentral:antisense_RNA from 1 species
CUUGAGGGAUCCCAGCCACAACGGCCGCUCCCGCGACCUGUCCUGACCGUACGUCGCCAGGAGUGCCUGUGCCUC